ensembl:snRNA U2 U2 spliceosomal RNA
GUAGCUUCUCAGCCUCUUGGCUAAGGUCAAGUGGAGUGUCUGGUCUUACUAGAUAAAUACCUGAUUUGUCUUCUCUCUGACGACACUAUAUGAAAUGGAUUUUUGGAGCAGGAAGAUAACAGAAACCUGCUCUGUCCACUCCGUGCAUAGAUCUGGUAUUGCAGUGUCUCCAGGAAUAGUGCAGCCCAC